AGUCUUCCAAAGCACUAAAGUCAUGAAAGACGGUGUGAGGAGCUAUUCCAGAUCAAAAGAGGUUAAAAAAUAAAUGCAACACUUAUUUUUGAACUGGAUCUUUUUGGUAUAAGGAAUAUUUGAUAGGAUGGAGGGUAGUUGGCAAAACUUGAAUGGGGUUUGAGGAUUAGAUGUUUGCAAUAUAUUUUUCUAUUAAUAGUUUUUUAUUUCUGUAUAUGUGGUCCACUCUCAGCCUAGUGGCAGAAAGCCAUAAUGACUUCAUAAUGCUCAUAAAUCCUGUGGGUUAAGAAAUUGAAAAGGACUCAGUGGAAAUAAUCUGAUUCUGUUCCAUGAUACUGGGGGCUUCAGCUGAAAAAGCUUGCGGGCUGAAAGCAGGAAUCCUCUGAAGGCUUGCGAAGUCAAAACCACACAUUUGAUAGCAGGAGGAUGAAACUCACUUUGUAAUAAGAGCAUGCAAGACAGAAGGGAGAUUGAGUUGCAGUUGUUUUUA
rnacentral:lncRNA from 1 species